rnacentral:rRNA from 1 species
UUCUUUUUGUUGUUUAAAUAUAAAGUAUAACCUGCUCAAUGAUUUUUAAAUAGCCGCGGUUUAAAUCGUGCAAAGGUAGCAUAAUAAUUUGUCCUUUAAUUGAGGUCUUGUAUGAAAGGUUUAAUGAAAGAGAUUCUUUUUUAAUUAAUAAUUUUAGAAAUUUAUUUUUUUGUUAAAAAGCAAAAAUAAUUAUAAGGGACGAUAAGACCCUAUAGAAUUUUAUAAAUUUUAUUUUAAUUAACUUAUUAUGAAUUUAAUUUUUGUUUUUUAUGAAAAUUUAUUUAGUUGGGGUGACUGUUAUAAUUUGAUAACUAUAAUUAAAAUUUAUUCAUAAAUAAAUGUUUUAAUGAUCCUUUAAUAAAGAUUAAAAGAUCAAAUUACCUUAGGGAUAACAGCGUAAUUUUUUUUGGGAGUUCAUAUUUAAAAAAAAGUUUGCGA